AUAAAGGAUUACUGUAAUCGUAAUCUUGUGUUUUUAGCUUGUUGGGAUUACUGCAAUCCUAAUCGUUUAGUAAUCGUAAUCCUUAUCGCCCAGCUCUGGUAUUUACCAUACACCAAAUUUUUAAGAAUAUAAACGAGAAAAGGGUCAACGCUCACCAUCUAUUUGUUGACAUCAAAGCCUCUUUCGGCGGCACGAAAGGAUGUUGAAUAUACGCCACGAUGUCUGAAUUACGUAUUUAUUUGCGAAACUGAUACGUCGGUGUGAACGGACGGUCAGCAAUUCCAACAGCUCCGUCUGAACUGAGAAAGACCUCUCCGAGCCGUUUGGUACCAAACGAGGUUUCAGAAAAGAUGACUCCCAUUCUUGUGAUUUCUUUAAUCUGAUGUUGGAUAAGAUAAUUUACUAAAAGAGGGUACAAUUGCUGGCGUAAACGAGGACAGGACGAAGAUUUACCGGCCUGUGUGCGUUGGCGACGGCGAAUACCUCAAACAAUGGAACGAUGAGCUGUAUGAGCCUUAGGUUGCAAACAGAGUGGAAGCGAAGCCGAAGACGAAGAUGAAGACGAAGCCGAAGACGAAUUGCUUGCGUUGCGGGCAAGCUGGCGAGUGUACAUAGUGGAAGAUGAAUGAUAUGAAGAUUUGUUUCUAAAUAAAACCCUUUUUGUUAGAUAAAAUUAAAAGAAAAUAAAGAAAAAACAGCAAUUCAUGAAAUAAUUUGCAUAGGACAACUUUUGGAGAAUUUCGCCACUUGUAUUAUGUGUUACGGCAAGACGGACAGAAAUUUUUCGAAUAUACAAGAAUGCCAAUUAAUACGUGUGAUUACAUUUUACCAAAAAUUUAUCCAAUUUCUUAAAAAACGCGUUUUUUCACAAUUGCAAACAGUUAAAUAAAUUGUAAACAACUCAUCACAGCAAGCGAUUUGUCUUUGUAAACAGUACCGCACUGUUUCAAGCUGACCGCUUGCGCAACAUCUUCAUCUUCGUCUCCGUCUUUGCUUGCACUGUGAUCACUUUCAUAUGUUUACUACCGCACUGUUUUUCGUCUUCGGCUUCGUCUUCAUCUUCGUCUUCGGCUUCGCUUCCACUCUGUUUGCAACCUUAUAGUCCUGCCAGAGAGAGUACGUUACGUACGUCCCGGCUCCAGCGUUCAACUGAAAAAGCGUAGGAAACGCAUAGGUACGCCACAAUGAAAGCGUUGUCGCAUUUAAACAAGUCAGCGGUUUUGUACUGGCGGCAAAUUUUUCUUUGAAUGCAAAAUAAAUCUAUAUUUUUAGUUGUACUAAUAUUUGUGAAGAAGAUAAAAAAAAAUGGAAAUAAUUGAAGUUAUUUUAAUAUUGCUCAUGUUGCUGGAAGCCAGAGAAUGCUUCAACAGGCUUUAUGAAGGCCGUAGAUGGUGGGUGCGACCUCCUCUACAGAAUCGGGACACUCACGGAUUUUUCGCCACGAAUUAUGGAUUUAGGGAGGAAUUUAAGAAAAAUAAUAUUUAUUAAUAAUUUUAUUAAGGAAAGAUUACUAGAAACAAUUCUAAUAGGCCAUCCAUUUCUCCAGAAUGUCGACUUUACUUGACCCUCUGGUAAGUUAUUCAUAUAUCAUGAGUAUGUAUAUUAAAAUAUUGUAAAUUAUAGUUAUUUGGCUCACGGAGGAAGUAAACAGUUUUAUGCUUCUUCCUUUAAAAUGGACUUUCCACAAUGAGGGAAAUAUUGGCAGAAACGUGCGAUGCUUUUUGGGAGGUACUUGGGCCAAUUUAUUUGUCGAUUCCUAAGAAGGAUGAGCGUAUGGAAGCGUAUCGCAAUCGAUUUUAAUUCCAUGUGGAAUUUACCCAAUUGUAUUGGUGCAAUUGAUGGCAAGCACAUAAACAUAUUUUGCCCAUCAAACUCUGGUUCCGCUUUUUAUAAUCCAUUCCAUUUCUGCUGGCGGUGUGUGAUGCAAAUUAUACUUUCACUUGCAUUGAUAUUGGAGCUUACGCCUCGCAAAGUGAUGGUGGCAUUUUAUGGAAUUCUGGCUUUGGGACACAGCUCUGUAGUGGAAAACUGGAUCUUCCUGAAAACGGUGUGCUACCAGACUAUGACUUUUCCCCAUUAUUUUGUUGGAGAUAAUGCGUUCCCGUUAAAGCCAUUUUUAAAGAGGAACCAACUUAUCUCUGGAGAGGCAAAUUUUUAACAAACGUUUAUCUCGAGCACGCUGUGUUAUAGAAAAUGCAUUUGGGAUUUUGGCUUGUCGAUGGAGAAUCCUUUUAAAUCCCUUACAAAUGAGCCCUUCAUCAGCCGAGAAAAUUGUAAAGGCUGCUGUUCUAAUACACAAUUUUCUCAAGAUGCACGAUGGUAGCUAUUCCCCGCCGGAAUAUGUUGACCAGGAGGACGGCGACUCUAUCAGAAGAGGAUUGUGGCGGAGUGAUAUUUCGAUCCCCUUGCAAAGAGCUAGGCGUAUAGGUUCGAACAAUGCUUUACAAAAUGCGUUUAAGUUAACAGCUGAUCUGAAGAGUUACCUUGUAUCCCAUCCAAUUCAAAGGAUGGCACAAUAAAGAAAAAGCCUCAAGAGGGCCAAGAUGAUUUUGCCAAGCGGAGACGCAAAACAUGAUGGCAUGCAAGGACAAAAACAAUACAAAUCAAAGAUUCAAACAGUAUACAAAAUCACCGAAAGUUCACCGAAUUUUCAUUAAAAGUUUAAAUUUUUUAAUAAAAAAUGUCUGGUAUGCAGUUUCAUAGCCCAUACAAUUUGAGUACAAUAAUGUGCAAAUUUGAAGUGGCUAAAGACUAUCGAGUGUUGCGCAUUUCCUCCAUGAACGAAAUGAAAAAACUAAAAAAUCAACGGUAAUCUUUAGCUAAUUGAAACUUGCACUUUAUUAUACUAGAAUGUA